GGCUCCUGUCUUCAUGGGGCCUGGGAAAUUCCCUCUAAGGGAGGUGGGGACCAUGGCCAUAUGUAGGUUUAUCGACCACCUUGCAGGGAGAAGACGUAGGAAGGUAGGACGGCAAGUAACUGGCUCAUGCUGUGACCUUGGAUGAGAAGCUGAAGGGCAGAGGUGAAGUAACUCACCUAAAGGAACACAGGCAAGGUUCUGAACCCAAGCAAUCUGGCUCCCAUCUGCCUGUCAACCGCGGUACCUCCUGCCACUGGGGCCACCGUCGCUUUGUCCUUGAUGAAGCAUUCGCUGAGUGGAGACACCGUGCUGAGCAUUCUGCACAGUCUCUGCUGGUAGCUUCCCCUGACUGAUCCAAACCCAGAGGACAAAUGAGCCGGCUGAUGCCAUCAUCCAUCAGGCCAGCCAAUGGGGCAGGGUGGGGCCAGGCGGAGAGCAGACGGAGAGUGCCCAGCGGACCGACGUUGAAUUCCUGCUGCCACGCUACCCUGCUGGCGGGGCCAGGCUACCGGAGCAGCGGACGGGAUCGUGGCUGUGAUGGCAGGGGGAACACUCCUGAAAGAAAACCUGCCCGCCUCAUGCCUGACAUCCGCCCUUAGUAAUCCAUAACGCUACUGAGCAUUGCCCUCCUCCCCUGCUUCCAAAAUGUAGGAGCCCCAAAGGAGGGCUCUACACUGAGUCAGUAAUGCUAGCAGGAGGGAGUCUGGCAAUUCUUAGAUCACGGGGCCCUGGGGGAACGUCAGGGAUUACUCAGGAAAGUCUGCGGAGCCUGUUUGCCCUAAUCAGCAAACAUUUACUGAGCACCUAUUAAGUGCUAGUCCUGGGCGGGGAGGCUAUUUCCAACAGCCAGUAAGGAUGUGCUAAGUCUUUUCUGCAAUUUUUUUUUAAGAUUUUAUUUAUUUAUG